CGGCCAGACAAGUCCGUUGGGAAAUCGACGUGCCCAACGCGUCGGCGUCCAGCGGAAACUGUCUGGCUUGGGGCCGGAAGACCCGAGGGGUACGUCCGGGGUAGGAGUGAAAUCCCGUAAUCCUGGACGGACCACCGGUGGCGAAAGCGCCUCGGGAAGACGGACCCGACGGUGAGGGACGAAAGCUGGGGUCUCGAACCGGAUUAGAUACCCGGGUAGUCCCAGCCGUAAACGAUGCUCGCUAGGUGUGGCGCAGGCUACGAGCCUGCGCUGUGCCGUAGGGAAGCCGUGAAGCGAGCCGCCUGGGAA
rnacentral:rRNA from 1 species